rnacentral:rRNA from 1 species
AUACGUAGGGGGCGAGCGUUGUCCGGAAUGAUUGGGCGUAAAGGGCGCGUAGGCGGCCUUGCAAGUCAGUAGUGGAAGUCCAUUUUUCAAGGAUGGCAGUGCUACAGAAACUGCGGAGCUUGAGUGCAGGAGAGGUUAUCGGAAUUCCCAGUGUAGCAGUGAAAUGCGUAGAGAUUGGGAGGAACACCAGUGGCGAAGGCGAUUUGCUGGACUGCAACUGACGUUGAGAUGCGAAAGCUAGGGGAGCAAACGGGAUUAGAUACCCCGGUAGUUCUAGCCGUAAACGAUGGAUACUAGGUGUAGAGGGUAUCGACCCCUUCUGUGCCGCAGCGAACGCAAUAAGUAUCCCGCCUGGGGAGUACGGUCGCAAGACUGAAACUCAAAUGAAUUGGCGGGG